UACGGAGGGGGCUAGCGUUGUUCGGAAUUACUGGGCGUAAAGCGUGCGCAGGCGGCUUCUCAAGUCAGGGGUGAAAGCCCAGAGCUCAACUCUGGAAUUGCCUUUGAGACUGAGAGGCUUGAGUGCGGGAGAGGUGAGUGGAAUUCCGAGUGUAGAGGUGAAAUUCGUAGAUAUUCGGAAGAACACCAGUGGCGAAGGCGACUCACUGGACACGUAUUGACGCUGAGGUGCGAAAGCGUGGGGAGCAAACAGG
rnacentral:rRNA from 1 species